GAUGAACGCUGGCGGCGUGCUUAACACAUGCAAGUCGAACGAUUAAGACGGCUUCGGCCGUGUAUAGAGUGGCGAACGGGUGAGUAACACGUGACCAACCUGCCCCGCGCUCCGGGACAACCGCUGGAAACGGCGGCUAAUACCGGAUGCUCCGGGGAGGCCCCAUGGCCUCCCCGGGAAAGCCUUGACGGCGCGGGAUGGGGUCGCGGCCCAUUAGGUAGACGGCGGGGUAACGGCCCACCGUGCCCGCGAUGGGUAGCCGGACUGAGAGGUCGACCGGCCACAUUGGGACUGAGAUACGGCCCAGACUCCUACGGGAGGCAGCAGUGGGGAAUUUUGCGCAAUGGGGGAAACCCUGACGCAGCAACGCCGCGUGCGGGACGAAGGCCUUCGGGUUGUAAACCGCUUUCAGCAGGGAAGACAUAGACGGUAC
rnacentral:rRNA from 1 species